GUUCCUUUGCUUUUUGAAUUUUGGUGUAUAUGCAAGAUCCAAUGAUUUUAAAUCACAUUUUCAGAUUUGACUUAAUGUGUAGUGUCCAUCUCCAUUCAGUCCCUUAGUAGAUCAAGAAUGUCAUGCUAUAGAAUGUACCUCUUUUUUAUUGGAGAAGAUGAUUCUGUUUCCAUUUUGAUAUCAGGUUCAUAAGUAGGGUGUUGCACUUGGAAGAUCUGUUGACUUGACAAAGUUUGAUGGUUAUGACCAAUUGAUCGAGGAGUUAGAUCAGCUAUUUGAAUUCAAAGGAGAAUUGAUGGCUCCAAAUAAAAAUUGGAUGAUUGUAUUUACUGAUAAUGAGGAUGAUAUGAUGCUUGUUGGAGAUGACCCUUGGCAGGAAUUUUGUGCUAUGGUCUGUCAGAUUUUUAUAUACACAAAAGAGGAGGUCCAGAAGAUGGAUUCAAGUACCUUGAACCCAAAAAAUGAAGAUUGUCCUGAUAUGAAAGAGAAUGUCAAGGAAACAAAAGGCAGUCAAUCUGCAUCAUCAUCUAAUUCAAAAAACUCAUAGGCUUAUCCUGCAAUGCUGACGACAUCUUUGCCAUGUGCAAUUCAAUCUUUGUAGGAUCUUGAAGCACAAACAAAGUGAUUGUUUGUGCUUUAUCUAAGUGAUUGUUUGAACAGUUUUAUAGCAUGCAUCUUGACAAUUAAUAUAAUUUUGAAGAUCACUAUCAAGGAAGAAUGUUCAAAGGAAAGUAAAGGCUAAGGAGAAGAUCACGUAAUUAACUACACGGGUAGGUUUCCGUAAGAAUUCAACUUUUUCUUGAUCUAUUCUUAUGUAGUCCAUGGUACACAUUAAAGAUUUCACUGUAGCUUAUUUUCAGUAUUCUAACAUGUAAAUUAAUACACUUAUGUGGAUCCUCCAAACAAUCUAAGUUGUGAUGGAUUGAUAUCCCUUUAUGUUCCAAACCUUUGUUUUUUUUUGGAGCUUGUAAUUUUCAUUGCAAAAAAUCCAUAUGGUGUAUGAAUUACAUUCAGUCCAGUAUAAACUUAGCACUUUCGCUUCAGAGGCAAUUUAUGGGUUUUAUUCUACAAUCAUGUUUACUAAUUGAUCAGAUUGAUUAAGAAGGACGUUGGAGUAGCUUGGUAAAUUUGUUUUGCUAGGUUAUUAUAAAUUAGCAUUCAGCAGAAUAGAUGUUUGGAUUUCUUCUUCAAAUCACACAGUAAUAUUUCUCUUGUCAUUGGUGAAACAAUCAAUCCACUCUCAUUAUAACUUCCACAACAGAAAAUUUUAUGUUAUUUGCCUACUACCAAUGCAGUUUAACUGAUUUUACAUUGACUGAACAAGGUUGAUUUUAUUUAGGUCUAGUGAAAAUACUGAAGAAGUAU